rnacentral:rRNA from 1 species
GAUGAACGCUGGCGGCGUGCCUAAUACAUGCAAGUCGAGCGAACGGACGAGAAGCUUGCUUCUCUGAUGUUAGCGGCGGACGGGUGAGUAACACGUGGCUAACCUACCUAUAAGACUGGGAUAAAUUCGGGAAACCGGAGCUAAUACCGGCUGAUAUUUUGCACCGCAUGGUUCAAAAGUGAAAGACGGUCUUGCUGUCACUUAUCGGUGGAUCCGCGCUGCAUUAGCUAGUUGGUAAGGUAACGGCUUACCAAGGCAACGAUGCAUAGCCGACCUGAGAGGGUGAUCGGCCACACUGGAACUGAGACACGGUCCAGACUCCUACGGGAGGCAGCAGUAGGGAAUCUUCCGCAAUGGGCGAAAGCCUGACGGAGCAACGCCGCGUGAGUGAUGAAGGUCUUCGGAUCGUAAAACUCUGUUAUUAGGGAAGAACAUAUGUGUAAGUAACUGUGCACAGCUUGACGGUACCUAAUCAGAAAGCCACGGCUAACUACGUG